rfam:Streptomyces viridochromogenes DSM 40736 genomic scaffold supercont1.1, whole genome shotgun sequence.
GCGUGGGUCGGCCCGCUGUACUGGAUCCAGUGGGCUGGGGGACACCGCCGCCUACAUCCCCGCGGGCGGCGGAACGGUCCGGGAGGCGUGUCCCGUCUCCCGGACUGCG